GAGCCAUUAGCUCAGUUGGUAGAGCACCUGACUUUUAAUCAGGGUGUCGAAGGUUCA
rnacentral:tRNA from 1 species